rfam:Dissulfuribacter thermophilus strain S69 contig00002, whole genome shotgun sequence.
CGCUUUAUGGAGCAAUCCAUGAAGUAAGGGCACAGGAGUCAGCAGAGGCCAUAGUAGCCUAACGCCUGGAGUUGAUGCCACACCACCUUAUUCGAGCUUCUUGGC